rnacentral:rRNA from 1 species
GACGAACGCUGGCGGCGUGCCUAAUACAUGCAAGUAGAACGCACAGUUUAUACCGUAGCUUGCUACACCAUACACUGUGAGUUGCGAACGGGUGAGUAACGCGUAGGUAACCUGCCUGGUAGCGGGGGAUAACUAUUGGAAACGAUAGCUAAUACCGCAUAAUAUUAAUUAUUGCAUGAUAAUUGAUUGAAAGAUGCAAUUGCAUCACUACCAGAUGGACCUGCGUUGUAUUAGCUAGUAGGUGAGGUAACGGCUCACCUAGGCGACGAUACAUAGCCGACCUGAGAGGGUGAUCGGCCACACUGGGACUGAGACACGGCCCAGACUCCUACGGGAGGCAGCAGUAGGGAAUCUUCGGCAAUGGACGAAAGUCUGACCGAGCAACGCCGCGUGAGUGAAGAAGGUUUUCGGAUCGUAAAGCUCUGUUGUAAGAGAAGAACGGGUGUGAGAGUGGAAAGUUCACACUGUGACGGUAUCUUACCAGAAAGGGACGGCUAACUACGUG